CCUACGGGUGGCAGCAGUGGGGAAUAUUGCACAAUGGGGGAAACCCUGAUCCAGCGACGCCGCGUGCGUGAAGAAGUAUUUCGGUACGUAAAGCUCUAUUAGCAGGGAAGAAAAUGACGGUACCUGACUAAGAAGCCACGGCUAACUACGUGCCAGCAGCCGCGGUAAUACGUAGGGGGCAAGCGUUAUCCGGAUUUACUGGGUGUAAAGGGAGCGUAGGCGGCAGGGCAAGUCUGGAGUGAAAUCCCAUGGCUUAACCAUGGAACUGCUUUGGAUACUGUGCAGCUAGAGUGUAGGAGAGGUAAGCGGAAUGUCUGGUGUAGCGGUGAAAUGCGUAGAGAUUAGGCGGAACACCAGUGGCGAAGGCAGCUUACCGAACUGUAACUGACGUUGAGGCACGAAAGCGUGGGGAGCAAACAGGAUUAGAUACCCGAGUAGUC
rnacentral:rRNA from 1 species